rnacentral:tRNA from 1 species
GGAAGAGUGUCCGAGUGGUUUAAGGAACCGGUCUUGAAAUCCGGUUACCGCCAUCCUCUCCUG